AUUGAACGCUGGCGGCAGGCCUAACACAUGCAAGUCGAGCGGAUGAGAGGAGCUUGCUCCUCGAUUCAGCGGCGGACGGGUGAGUAAUGCCUAGGAAUCUGCCUAGUAGUGGGGGACAACGUCUCGAAAGGAACGCUAAUACCGCAUACGUCCUACGGGAGAAAGUGGGGGAUCUUCGGACCUCACGCUAUUAGAUGAGCCUAGGUCGGAUUAGCUAGUUGGUAGGGUAAAGGCCUACCAAGGCGACGAUCCGUAACUGGUCUGAGAGGAUGAUCAGUCACACUGGAACUGAGACACGGUCCAGACUCCUACGGGAGGCAGCAGUGGGGAAUAUUGGACAAUGGGCGAAAGCCUGAUCCAGCCAUGCCGCGUGUGUGAAGAAGGCCUUCGGGUCGUAAAGCACUUUAAGUUGGGAGGAAGGGCUCAUAGCGAAUACCUGUGAGUUUUGACGUUACCAACAGAAUAAGCACCGGCUAACUUCGUGCCAGCCGCCGCAGUAAAAC
rnacentral:rRNA from 1 species